CUGGGCUCUGCCCUCAUUGUUCCCUUUGGUGGUCCCACGGGGUGGCCUGACUCCAAGCAGGCUUGUUGCAGUGGCUGUUAGACCACAACAAAGCCUUAGUCUCUGCACACAAAGGCUAAAGCAUGAGAUCAGACCACACGCAGGGUCUGAUUCCUCUAAUUGCUGGAAAACCAAGCUACAACAGGCAUUCACUCCUCCCUUGGCAGAGUCCUUGAAGGAUGGUUCUAGAGGCAAAGACAGAUAGAGCGACCCGAUAGGAUACCUCUCUGCUCCACAGCUACACAGGGUCCGGCAGGUUGAUACCUGGGCUGCCCAUCACAAUCCAGCCCCAGCCUCCGUUUCUCGGCACUGUCAUUCCAAGGAACUCACCCUUCCUCCAAACACCCCUGUAUUUUCUAGCCUUCAUCCAUUUGUUCUUACUGAUUCCUCUGGCCUGGUGCCCCUUUUCCAUCAUUCUCUGUUAAAAUCCCACUCCUCCUUCAAGAUCUGGACCAAAUGCAGUUCCCUCCACCUGCCAUGUGUCCCCACACUGUUUUCUUCCCUCCUGCCAUCCAGCAUCGGACUGUAUCUCCCCCUCCUCUAUGAUGCCACCCCACCCUGUGAUCCUCUGUGGCUGGGUGACAGCAGCACCACAUCUGCCUGUGGUGGACAUUUCAGGAAGGUGAUCUCCUUGAGAGAAGUGACUCUAGAUGAUGCCAUUUUCUACCCUCCCUGGUGCCCAAUGCCAUGUCUUGUCCCCAGUAUGCCCUCAGGAAACGUCUGCUGGAUUAUGGCAUGGCAUUUUUCUCACCAGAUGGGCUGUGUUCUGCAGAAACUCACUGUGCAGGGAUUCACCAUUCAUGAGUCUAAAACUCAGAGAACUGAUUUCACAGAUGGAAUCUGUCUGCAGAAUUUUCCACUCCCUCAGCCGAUGUGUGCAUGUAGGGCCAUGUUCGGCGGUCACUUCUGCAGCUCUCCAGCCCAGGAGUCCAGUGGUCUGGAUCUACGGUUGCCCAACUCUGUCCUAAGUGCCAGAGCCUUUCAGUAUUUUCAACGACGUGAUGACUGGAAGGCAUCGGCGCUGCACUACAGUUUCAAGUCUGGCGAACACGCGGACAAGGGCUCUCCAGCCAGCCAGUUCCCAGCACGACUCUUAGGAAUAUGUGGGAGAGUCUCUCCGGGUUUGACCAAGGUCAAGUGGGGGCUCUGA
rnacentral:lncRNA from 1 species